rnacentral:rRNA from 1 species
UGUCAGGGCUUGCCGAUAUUAACGACAAACUUUUCUUCCCAAUUGAAAGUGCUUUACAACCCUAGGGCCUUCUUCACGCACGCGGCAUGGCUGCGUCAGGCUUUCGCCCACUUGCGCAAUAUUCCCA